rnacentral:piRNA from 1 species
UAGGAAAUAAGACACGUGCCACCAUGUC